CCUACGGGUGGCUGCAGUGGGGAAUAUUGCACAAUGGGCGAAAGCCUGAUGCAGCAACGCCGCGUGAGCGAUGAAGGCCUUCGGGUCGUAAAGCUCUGUCCUCAAGGAAGAUAAUGACGGCACUUGAGGAGGAAGCCACGGCUAACUACGUGCCAGCCGCCGCGGUAAUACGUAGGGGGCUAGCGUUUUCGGGAAUUACUGGGCGUAAAGGGUGCGUAGGUGGGGUCGUAAGUCAGAGGUGAAGCGAUCCGUCUCCACCGUAGUGAGCCUUUGAAACUGGGGGACUUGAGUGCAGGAGAGGGGACUGGCAUUCCUAGUGUAGCGGUGAAAUGCGUAGAUAUUAGGAGGAACACCAGUUGCGCGGGCGGCUCUCUGGACUGUACCUGACACUGAUGCACGAGAGCGUGGGGAGCAAACAGGAUUAGAUACCCCUGUAGUC
rnacentral:rRNA from 1 species